rnacentral:rRNA from 1 species
AUUGAACGCUGGCGGCAUGCCUUACACAUGCAAGUCGAACGGCAGCACGGGUGCUUGCACCUGGUGGCGAGUGGCGAACGGGUGAGUAAUACAUCGGAACAUGUCCUGUAGUGGGGGAUAGCCCGGCGAAAGCCGGAUUAAUACCGCAUUCGAUCUACGGAUGAAAGCGGGGGACCUUUGGGCCUCGCGCUAUAGGGUUGGCCGAUGGCUGAUUAGCUAGUUGGUGGGGUAAAGGCCUACCAAGGCGACGAUCAGUAGCUGGUCUGAGAGGACGACCAGCCACACUGGGACUGAGACACGGCCCAGACUCCUACGGGAGGCAGCAGUGGGGAAUUUUGGACAAUGGGCGAAAGCCUGAUCCAGCAAUGCCGCGUGUGUGAAGAAGGCCUUCGGGUUGUAAAGCACUUUUGUCCGGAAAGAAAUCCUUGGCCCUAAUACGGUCGGGGGAUGACGGUACCGGAAGAAUAAGCACCGGCUAACUACGUG